GAUGAACGCUAGCGGCAGGCUUAAACACAUGCAAGUCGAGGGGCAGCACAGGUAGCAAUACUGGGUGGCGACCGGCGCAAGGGUGCGUAACGCGUGAGCAACAUGCCCGUAUCAGGGGGAUAAUCCAUGGAAACGUGGUCUAAUACCCCAUAGUAAGUUUUUGAGGCAUCUCAAGGAUUUUAAAGCUUUGGUGGAUACGGAUUGGCUCGCGUGACAUUAGCUGGAUGGUAGGGUAACGGCUUACCAUGGCUACGAUGUCUAGGGGUUCUGAGAGGAAGGUCCCCCACACUGGAACUGAGACACGGUCCAGACUCCUACGGGAGGCAGCAGUGAGGAAUAUUGGACAAUGGAUGGAAAUCUGAUCCAGCCAUGCCGCGUGCAGGAAGACGGCCCUAUGGGUUGUAAACUGUCUUUUUGUAUGGGAGCAAUAAGAUCUACGUGUAGAUUGAUGAGAGUACCAUACGAAUAAGCACCGGCUAACUCCG
rnacentral:rRNA from 1 species